GAGGAUGGGAGUCCCUGGCCUCCGGAGCUGAGCGAGCCAGAGCGUGGCCGGGAGGGCGCACCGGAGGGAGGCGAGCCUCGCUGUUCCUCCGGGAGCCCAACACCAUUCCCGCGCCGCCAAGAUGAUCCCCCCGAGCGGCGCCCAUGAGGACGGCGUGGACGGGCUGCCCAAAGAGGCGGCGAGCGCGGAGCUGCCGCCUUCGCCUGCAUCCACCAGCAGCCAGGAAUCCAAGUAAGCGUCUGCCCUGAAACAUGUGUGUCAUUUGGAAAUGAGAACAAAAGCCCCACCUCCCAAGGAGUUCCUAUCAUGGCUCAGCAGAAAUGAAUCUGACUAGUAUCCAUGAGGAUGCCGGUUCAAUCCCUGGCCUUGCUCAGUGGGUUAAGGAUCCGGCGUUGCCAUGAGCUGUGGCAUAGGUUGAAGACACAGCUGGGAUCUGGCAUUGCUGUAGCUGGCGUGUAAGCCACUGUCUACAGCUCCGAUUCGACCCCUAGCCUGGGAACUUCCAUAUGCCUCAGGUGCAGCCCUAAAAGACAAAAGAAGAAAAUUAAAAACCGCACCUUCCAGUAUCAUUGUGAGAAAUAGUGAGAUGAUCUAACGUCCAUCUGGGUACAGUGCAAAGACUCAUGUUUACCCUUUUCCUUCCUAAGAUAAGGAGAUGGGAUCGAUCUUACCACACAUGGCUCACUCCCAAACAGUCUCACAAUCCAAACACAUGGACCACUGCCCCUCUGGCCAGAAGUUUCUGGCUGUUGCAUCACUGUCCAUCAUUGACCUAAGUGAUGAUAUGAGGUAGUGGCCAUUUCAAAGGUCAUCUAGAAUACUGUAAGGAUGCAGCUAAAGUCAGGAGUGAAACUGGUAUUCAGCUUUUGAAUUAGGCCUGUUGCUCUGCAGUAGAUAUGUUCUGGAAAGGGCUUAGCAUUUGGGUAUAUAGCAGCGUGGUUCAAACACACUGUAUGGGCUUGCUAUUUAUAGAUAUCCUAAUGUAAAUUCUUUGGCAGAGUAAAAACUACAUAUGCAAUACCCGUCAUUAUCCACCAAUUUAUCUGGCUUAUGGUUUCGGAUUUGUACAAGUCAGUUUUUCUUAGUGUGUUUAUACAUUCCUAAAUUUGCUGUCAUGGCUUAGGUGUUCUUAAUUAGUGGAGAUGGACUUUGGGGAGGGGCCCAUGAACCCCAAGAAAUUGAAUACAAAAUAAUAUGCCUGAACGUGAAAUUUUUGGGGAGGGGGGCAUAGUGUUUUUGAUACUCUCCAAGGGACGUGUGCUUCUCAAAAAGACUAAAUUGAUGUUGAAGAUGUGUGGUAAGGGGGGCAGAAUGGCAUGAGACAGGAGCAGAGGAAGGAGCUAUUCAUUUCUACCCCGACCACCACAUUUGAAAGCUCAUCCCCGUUUACAAGGAUCUUGCACCCUGGAGAUGGAUGUCUGGUGAGGAAAAUGUGGACAAAUAGUCACACCCUCUUACUGUCUUCUGAAGGGGUCUGUUUGUCAGAAUACUGUGUGGGACAGGCAAGGUUCAGACACCUCUGGACAGUAAACUUUCUCAAGAAAGACUUUUUAAAUUAAUUUUUUAUUAUAGUUGAUUUACAAUAUUCUGUCAAUUUCUGCUAUAUAGCAAAGUGACCCAGUUAUACAUAUGUAUAUAUAUAUAUACACAUUCUUUCGCUCACUUGAUUUUUAAAAAUUCUUCUUUUUAUUUUAUUAAAGCAUAGUUGACUAACAGUAUUGUAUUAGUUUCAGGUACAACAGGGGUUUGAUAUUUUUAUAGAUCAGUCAUCAUACAAAGUUGUUACAAUAUUAUUGACUCAAUUCCCUGUGCUGUACAGUACAUCUCUGUGACAUUUAUUUUAUAACUGGUAGUUUGUACCUCUUAAUCCCCUUCACCUCUUUCACCCAUCCCCCUAUCUCCCUCACCUCUAGCAACUGCUAGUUUGUUCUCUGCAUCUGCGAGUCCAUUUCUGUUUUGUUGUAUUUGUUCAUUUGUUUUGAUUAUUAGAUUUCACUAUACAUUUUUAAAACAACUUUUUUUCUCUGAUGAUAAGAAUAACAAAUACUUUGUAGAAAUUUGAAAAGUCCAGGAAAAAAAAUAAGGAAAAGAAAAAAAUCACCUGUUGGUCACAAUCCAGAGGCAACUACUGAUAAUAUUUUGAUCAUGUAUUUGCCUUUUAUUUAUGUGUAUGUGUGUAUAUGCCUCCUUUCAUUGACUUUUGUAUUUACAUAAUUGAAAGAACAGUAGUCAGUGUCUAGGCAUAACUUGACCUUUCACGGUAACCCUAGGAGGGAGAAUGGGCUAUUAUUUCCAUUUUAUGGUUAGGGAAUUAGGUUUCCCUAUGUGUAGGGUAGAGAUAGGAAACCAUAGGAACCUAUCUGGAGGCUCAGAAAGGUUAGGUGACUUGCCCAUAAUUGUAUAGUUAGUUGAGUGACACAGCAAGGAUGGGGACUCGGGCACCAUGGCUCUGUGGAGGACACGUUCUCAGCCAUCAUGCAGCUCUCUCUCAUCCUGUGUACUGUUUCACAUUCUUCCAUUUCACCUCACAACCAAGUAUUUUAUAUGCCGCUGAAAUCCAUUUGCAACAGUAUUUUGAUCUUCUCAUCUUAAGAAAUUUUUGAAAACAAAUGAAGCCACAUUAUCAUGUGAAAUGAUUAAAGACCAAUUCUUGUC
rnacentral:lncRNA from 9 species